AUUGAACGCUGGCGGCAGGCUUAACACAUGCAAGUCGAGCGAGCGGCGGACGGGUGAGUAAUGUCUGGGAAACUGCCUGAUGGAGGGGGAUCACUACUGGAAACGGUAGCCAAUACCGCAUACCAUCAGAUGUGCCCAGAUGGGAUUAGCUUGUGGGUGGGGUAAUGGCUCACCUGGGCGACGAUCCCUAGCUGGUCUGAGAGGAUGACCAGCCACACGGGAACUGGGACACGGUCCAAACUCCUAGGGGAGGAAGCAGUGGGGAAUAUUGCACAAUGGGCGCAAGCCGGAUGAAGCCAUGCCGCGGGUGUGAAGAAGGCCUUCGGGUGGUAAAGCACUUUCAGCGGGGAGGCGUUACUCGCAGAAGAAGCACCGGCUAACUCCGUGCCAGCAGCCGCGGUAAUAC
rnacentral:rRNA from 1 species